UCCCCGGUAGCUCAAUUGGUAGUAGCGGAUGGCUGUUAACCAUCAGGUUGCAGGUUCGAGUCCUGCCCGGGGAGCCA
rnacentral:tRNA from 1 species